UCCGUAGGUGAACCUGCGGAAGGAUCAUUAUUGAAUUCGAUCUUCGGAUCUUAUAACAUAAUAACAACACUGUGAACCGUGGCUUCGGCCCAAACUUGAAGUCUUGAAUGUAAUAUAUCAUAACAAAAUACAACUUUUAACAACGGAUCUCUUGGCUCUCGCAUCGAUGAAGAACGCAGCGAAAUGCGAUAAGUAAUGUGAAUUGCAGAAUUCAGUGAAUCAUCGAAUCUUUGAACGCACCUUGCGCCCUCUGGUAUUCCGGAGGGCAUGCCUGUUUGAGUGUCAUGAACACCUCACCCCCUCGGGUUUUUCCGAUCGGGUGGAUUUGGGUGCUGCCAGUUACAUGGCUCGCCUUAAAAGCAUUAGCGGUUGUUGACGUAAUAAGUUUCGUCUUGUCGACCGCUUCUAAUCUCCUUCGGGAUGUCUUUUAGACACUUCAUGAUCUGACCUCAAAUCAGGUAGGACUACCCGCUGAACUUAAGCAUAUCAAUAAGCGGAGGA
rnacentral:rRNA from 1 species